AUGGCCCCGGAGCCACCCGGACUACAUGAAGAGCAUGUAGGAGGAGAGAUGGGACAGGAGCUCUCCUCUCCUGUGCAUCUGCAAGGCCUGGGACUGCUCCUCCAUGUUCUGCCUGGGCCUAGCAUGCGGCACUGUGUGGAAGUCAGAAUCCCUUGUGUACUUCCAAGGAAAUCUGUGGGAGAGGGUGGAUGUGGACCCAGUGGCUUAAUCCCCUUGCCACCACUCUGUGGAGCUUGUGAGAGGAUGACGAGAGGACAGAGGCAUCUGAGCCUCGGACGGACAGCGUCCCUCCGCUGCCUGAAGCACCUCUGCCUCCGGGAAAGGAAGGGGAAUGAGCCUGAAUCCCUCUUUGACUUGAAACCCACCCUUCAGAGACAACCAGCAGCUUCCAGACCAGCCUUUCAUCAUUCGUUGUCCUUCCUAAUGAGAACGACAUUAGACUUUUACCUCAACCCGACUGCAAUGAUUUCACAGUAG
rnacentral:lncRNA from 1 species